AUGAACGCUGGCGGAGUGCCUUAAGCAUGCAAGUGGAACGGUCCGAUGACCCGCAAGGGAUGUCGGACAGUCGCAGACGGGUGAGUAAUAUAUAGGAAUCUACCUUUUGAUGGGGAAUAGCUGGCCGAAAGGCCAAUUAAUACCGCAUAACACCGCAAGGUAAAAGGCCGUAACUGGCCGUCGAAAGAGGAGCCUAUAUCCUAUCAGCUAGUUGGUGAGGUAAAGGCCCACCAAGGCGAUGACGGGUAGCUGGACUGAGAGGUCGGUCAGCCACAAUAGCACUGAGACACGGGCUAUACAUCUACGGAUGGCAGCAACUGGGAAUAUUGCGCAAUGGACGAAAGUCUGACGCAGCGACUCCGCGUGGAGGAUGACGGUUUUCGGAUCGUAAACUCCUUUUGACUUCUCAUAUGAGAGGUAGAAUAAGCACCUGCUAACCACGU
rnacentral:rRNA from 1 species